AGCUCUUAGCUGAAAUGUACCCUGUUAGCAGUGGACCGAUGGCAGCUCCAAUUGAGCCAGUGCCAUCUAUUAUUGCAGUAACAGUUGCUAAAGCCCUGGCGUUGCCUUUCAAUGAGCUAUGUGUUCCCAGGUCAGCCGAUACAGCAGUCGUGAUGAGAGCGUAAGGUCCAUUGACAAACAUGCCGGUGAUCAACAUGAGGAUGAUGUUCAUGGUCAUCGAGAUGUUUCCAUAACUUCUGUAAAAGAACAGAGCAGGAAUAGCGCAGUACAUAAAGCUCGCAGCUGUUAUAGCUCUAGCAUUUAAAUGAUCGGAAAUAUGACCAGCUAGAAUUCCUCCAACAACCCCUCCAACAUCAAACAAUGUCGACAGGUUUCCAGAUUCUUCAUCAGACAAGUACCUUCCAUCUAUAGCUGCAGCCCAAAAACAAAGAGAGGUCAAUAAAAUGUAUCAAACAGCUUGUAUUGAAAGGUGACCCGCACAAUUGUGGAACUAAAAAGGCAAUCAACUAAGGUCUGCUGCCUGAAUUGAGGAAUGAAAAUAUACAAGCCAAUCAAAAAAUCCAAGAAUGAUGGGUACCUGUAUGGUUAAUAUAAAAAGGAAGCCAAUACAGAAACGUAUAAGCCACCAACUUGGCGAAGAAUAGGCAAAGAGCAAAAGGUGCAACACCAGGAAUUUUCCAUGCUUCGAUGAACCCAACUGCAGACUCCACCCCUUCCUUAUCUGAUCUGAGAAGAGGUUCUGAUAUUUCCUCGCCAUCUUUUUUGGGAGAGCAUUCUUCUUCUUCUUCAUCAUUGUUGGCCCCAACAGACUCCGGACUAACAGGUAAGAAAAGGAAUACCAUUAAGCCAAUGAAGGCAAUUCCCAGACCAGGAACAGCAGUUGACCAUCCCCAUCCAUACUUUAAUAAAGCCGAAGCAACCAAGGACCCUGUAAUGUUACCCACAGAAGUGUGAGCAUUCCAAAUGCCCAUUAUAAGCCCUCUCUUCUUCUUCCCAAACCAAUUCCCAACAACUGCCACCACUGAUGGCCAUCCAGUAGAUUGGAACAAUCCUGCCAUCAUCUGAACUAUCAAAAAGUAGUAAAAGAUGUGGACAUUCCCCCAAUACCCAACCCCAAAAAGGGCUGUGAAUACACCAGUUCCAACCAUUCCUGCAGUUAGGAAUAGUCUAAGAUCCAUUCUAUCACCCACGUGGCCAGAGAAAUACAUUCCUAUGGCAUAAACAAAAAGAAAGGCAACAUCAAGUUCACCAAGCAAUGAUGUGCCAUCUGGACCAUUGAAUGGUGCCCAACCAUUUCCAAGCUGAAGCAAUAAUUUGGUGCUUUUAGCUCCUGAUUCAGGAUCAAGUGCGCUCUUGACAAUGCUGGUAGUUUUCCGAGUAGCAUGGAAUGAUGCGUAAGCAAAGAAUGUUACAAUUAGGACAACGGCUUGAUAGGUGUUGAAAGAAACUGAGGUUUUCUUUAAUUUCUCAAUCAGUACAAUUCCCCGGGGCUUUCCCU
rnacentral:lncRNA from 1 species